rnacentral:lncRNA from 1 species
GUUCCUUAUUUCAUAACUAAAAUCCCCUUUCCUUUUCACGUAUAUGACAUACCGAAUUAAAGUAUUUACCGGGUUUGUAAUAACAUGAGCAACACGACGGGUGCCACAUGUGGAUCAGGAUCAGCAUACCCUUCCGGAGCACCUGAUAUCAUCCACAGUUUUCGUUGGGGUUCGUGUUGCUCAGUUUUUACCUUUCUGUGUUGUGUAUUGGGUUCUAUUAUUUGAAUGUUUGUCUUUUCUUUUUUAGCCAUAGCCUUGUCAGUUUAUUUUCGAUCUAUAAGUUUGACUGUCCCUCUGGAAUCUGUCGCCCAUCUUUCACAGAGAGUGGUUAUAUUGUUUUAGUAUUUUGUAAGCGCGACAUUUUUGUAAACUUAAUAGGUAGUAACAUUCAUAUAUGUAAUUUAUUAUUGUAUUAGUUUAAAGCAAUUCAAUGGG